UUUCCCGCGUUUCGUAGAAUAGCGGGAAAACAUUGUAUGAUAGGAACGUAUUUUAUUGGAAAUGCCUGUUUAUGGUAGGCGUGGCCAAAGGAAGGCCAAUGAGAAGGUGGUAUUUCGUGAAGUGUUGGAUCAUUCUAAUCCAGUGCUCCGCAGAACACACACGUGUUUUUGUUGAGUUUUCGGGAGCAGGAACGAGCAAGCAGAACCGAUGUCAAAAGAAAAACAGGGUCCUGUAACGAUUGUUACUUUCCAUGUCAUCGGGCUUUACACUGUACAAAUAAAGAAACAGUUUCUAAGAUAAGUAUAAGUGUUCUAAGAAUAUUAAUGAUAAGGAAACGAAAUACCAAGAUAGUUUUAUUAAAGGUUUAUUUUAAGAAACUAUACUAUAAAUGAAAAUGUUAAAGUUCAUUCUAUCGAUUAUUAAGGUGAGAGUUUUGGGGUAGAUAAUUAUAUAUUUUACUGAGCUAUUUGUAACAAGUGACUUAAAAAAAAAAAAUCUUUUAAGUGUUUCUCAAGACCUGUAUUGUAUUACUUAACAAAAAGCAGAUAAGUAUGGCUUUUGGCAAUAUUAACAUCGUUUACAAAGAAAUGCAAAAAGUUAUAAAUUCUACUUUGUAUCCAUUCAUUAUAUUCAAAUGAAAGUACAAUAAACAACCACACCAUUACGACAUAGCAACGAAAUGUAGCGGUUUUAUUGUACAAUGUACAUAUAACACGCAAAAUAUGAAAAAACAAUUUUUAUUUACAUGUUAAAUGUUGGAUUGAGUAAUAAAAGAUAAGAUUUAAACUUUUAUCGUACACGGCGUGUCGUCCUGGAUCGGCAUUUAGAUCACCGUUCGCCUCAAGACAUUAUGUAGCCUUGCUGGUGAAACCGGUUUUAGAGAAACACGUGGUAUUCACCGGGUGUUCAAGUGAAAACCUUGAAAUUCUGAAAAAAGUAAUUCAAAGUUAUUUACACCAAGUGGGGAUUGAUUUCUAUCUAAUUCGUGCCUCAAACGAAAUAAAUAUAUAAAAAGGUUGAGUAGCUGAGGUCAAGGAUAUACCUCAUGUUGCAGUUAAAUAUGCAUUCAAUAUAGGACAAGUAAAGUGUUUAUUCAGCUACCAUCUUAGUCCGUAGUCAGUGGGAAUACGAUGGUGUAUUAAAAUAUUUUUGUGUUCAAUGUUUUACCAUUUGGUAUUCCAUUUGCUGCACUCUUAUUAAAAAGUUUUAAAAAAAAAAAAGUUAAAUAUUGGACAGGACAAGGAAUUACCCUGUAUUUCUUAGGCAGAUGUAAGUAUCUGUAAGUUUUAUUAAAACUUUUUGGGACAUUGUGUAGUAUUCACAAUUCAUUUAGCGGCCUUAACAACCAUAGUUUGGUAAUUUUCGAGUGGAAUAAUGAAACAAUAGUACAUGUAUAUAACUUCCCAGAGAACAGAAAAAUUGUUACGACAUAUCAGUAUAAUUUAAGUCAAAGUUAGUUGUUUUCAAAGUAUGAUAAUAUAUCAAUUACUUAUAACAACUUGUAUGAGAGAGCAAAUCAUUUCAUAACUCGGAAGCCGCUAUAGGAAAUGUGGCUGGAUUUUAUACAACGAUACAUUGGAAAUCUUUUAUCAGAUUCAUUAUCUGAAGAAGAGUUUUCGAAACAAAGGUCUUUAAAAAAGUUAUCUUACAUUUGUGAUAAUCAGUGGAAAUUGUUCAUGUAGACGGCUAGAAGAUCCAUAAUUAUAUAUGUAUAUGUGUAUAUAUAUAACAUUUAUAUCCAUGUACGUUAUUUUGGUAAUUCUACUAAUAUUAAAAAAAAAUGUUAAAGGAGAAGUCUAUAUCAAAGUUUUCUUUGGAUUUGUGUCUCAUCCUUUGGAAUCUGUCAAUUAUAAAUAUGCUUAAUUCAAAAGGUCUAGAGAAGAAAUCUUAUUUGAAUAUUUAAAGUGAUGCGUCUGAUUCAUGUUAUUGGUGCUCUAAUAGAAAGAUUCAAUGAUUAAAAAACGUUUUAAAAAUACGUGGACAAGUCAGGAAUCUUGUCAAAACGUUUAAUACUUAGACAAGUUAGGAAUCUUGUCAGAAACGUUCAAUACGGGGACAUGUCGGGAAUCUUGUCAGAAACGUUCAAUACGUGGACAAGUCAGGAAUCUUGUCAGAGUUCUAUGUGGAGAGAACCGGAAUCUAAAAAUAGAUAAAUGAAUAUUAUAGGGAAAAGCAUUUGGGAUAUAUAGACAAGAUGUGUGUAGAAUUAUAGAGGUGGGCAGUAGAAAGCCAUAAUAUUAAUAAAAUAUUGCAAAACGGAUACGUGGUAAUUGUGAAAAAAAAAAAUAAUAAUAAUAA